GUGGGGAAUAUUGGACAAUGGGCGCAAGCCUGAUCCAGCCAUGCCGCGUGAGUGAUGAAGGCCUUAGGGUUGUAAAGCUCUUUCAGUAGGGAAGAUAAUGACGGUACCUACAGAAGAAGCCCCGGCUAACUUCGUGCCAGCAGCCGCGGUAAUACGAAGGGGGCUAGCGUUGUUCGGAUUUACUGGGCGUAAAGCGCACGUAGGCGGAUUGGUCAGUUAGAGGUGAAAUCCCGAAGCUCAACUUCGGAACUGCCUUUAAUACUGCCAGUCUCGAGUCCGGAAGAGGUGAGUGGAACUCCUAGUGUAGAGGUGGAAUUCGUAGAUAUUAGGAAGUACACCAGUGGCGAAGGCGGCUCACUGGUCCGGUACUGACGCUGAGGUGCGAAAGCGUGGGGAGCAAACAGGAUUAGAAACCCGAGUAGUCC
rnacentral:rRNA from 1 species